CCGAGUUUACAACUCCCAAACCCCUGUGAACAUACCUUUAUGUUGCCUCGGCGGAUCAGCCCGCGCCCCGUAAAACGGGACGGCCCGCCGCAGGAAACCCUAAACUCUGUUUUUAGUGGAACUUCUGAGUAUAAAAAAACAAAUAAAUCAA
rnacentral:misc_RNA from 1 species